GGGGACUACGAGCAUGAGCUUAAAACCCAAAGGACUUGGCGGUGCUUUAGACCCCCCUAGAGGAGCCUGUUCUAGAACCGAUAACCCCCGUUCAACCUCACCUUUUCUUGUUUAUCCCGUCUAUAUACCGCCGUCGUCAGCAUACCCUGUGAAGGAAACAUAGUAAGCAAAACUGGUAAAACCCAAAACGCCAGGUCGAGGUGUAGCAUACGAAAAGGAAAGAAAUGGGCUACAUUUCCUCUUACAGGAAAUACGAAUUGUGUCAUGAAACAACACAUGAAGGAGGAUUUAGCAGUAAGCAGAAAAU
rnacentral:rRNA from 1 species